AAGACUAUACUUCCAGGGAUCACUUCUACAGUUUGUAACAUAAAGUAAUUAAAUUCUAAUUAAGUCUGAAACAGCUUCUAGAACAAACCUAUGUAGUAAUUGUGGAGGGAGAGAGAGAUGCACCUCAGGGACGAGAUUCUGCAAAGGGCUUUCUUCUCCCCUACACUCUGAGAACU
rnacentral:snoRNA from 1 species